rnacentral:rRNA from 1 species
UACGGGGGGAGCAAGCGUUGUUCGGAUUUACUGGGCGUAAAGGGCGCGUAGGCGGCCUCUGCAAGUCGACUGUGAAAUCUCCGGGCUUAACCCGGAAAGGUCAAUCGAUACUGCGGGGCUAGAGUGCAGAAGGGGCAACUGGAAUUCUCGGUGUAGCGGUGAAAUGCGUAGAUAUCGAGAGGAACACCUGCGGCGAAGGCGGGUUGCUGGGCUGACACUGACGCUGAAGCGCGAAAGCUAGGGGAGCGAACGGG